rnacentral:rRNA from 1 species
GAUGAACGCUGGCGGCGUGCCUAACACAUGCAAGUCGAACGGAAAGGCCCUGCUUUUGCGGGGUGCUCGUUUGGCGAACGGGGGUGUAUCACGUGAGUAACCCGCCCCUGACUUAGGGAUAUAUUCACGGAAAUGCGGAGCAUAUCGGUGAGAAUCUCCUGCUCCACGUUGUGGAUUGGAAAAUUUCGGCGGUGGGGGAUGGACUCGCUGCUUAUCAGCUUGUUGUUGUGGUAGUGGCUUACCAAGGCUUUGACGGGUACCCGGCCUGAGAGGGUGACCGGCCACAAUGGGCCUGAGAUACGGCCCAGACUCCUACGGGAGGCAGCAGUGGGGAAUAUUGCACAGUGGGCGGAAGCCUGAUGCAGCAAUGCCGCGUGCGGGAUGACGGCCUUCGGGUUGUAAACCGCUGUCGCCUGUGACGAAGCGUGAGUGACGGUAAUGGGUAAAGAAGCACCGGCUAACUACGUG